CAUUCCAUCCACCAAUCCUCCUCGCCGUCGCCAACCACUCGAGAUUCCCUCGGGAUCCCAUCCCCCACCCCCAGCAGCCUCCGACCACCUCCCUGAAUUUCAGAGCCACCUAGUCGUCGCCUCCUUCCCUCCUCCCAUUUAUCCACCACCAAAUCCACCCUCGUAGCCAUCCUCGGCUCCCUCCGCUGCCAAGCUCCCACGCUUCCGCUUGUUCUUCCUGAGAUCCAGCAGAGCUCACCCGCCCCCGCUGCCUCAUCCCCGCUCCCACCGUCGACCGCAAGCCGCUGCCCGCUAGAACAGCAGCAACCAGCACCACUCCCUGUGGCCCUCCUCGAACCACAGCAGCCAGCCCAGCCUCUUCCUCGUUGCCUCGCGUCCCUGUGCUCCCUCCUCAUCGCGCGCCCAAGCGCCGCGCCCGUCCCGAGCUCCUCAUGCUCGUCCCCAAGCUCCUGCUCCAUCCCCGAUGCAGUGCCGCCAUGUCCGCAAGCCAAGCUCGCUGACGGCUUCCUCCGGUCUGGCCGGACUUCUCCAGCCAUGACCCUUCCCGACCGGAUCAUGUGCCGUUGCCGUCCCUGCGCCGACGACCCAGCCGCGUGCCCAGUUUUCUCCUGCAUCGCGUGAGUCGCCGAGCCUCCUUGCGUCGAGCACCACGAGCAGGACGCCCCAUCGCGGCCAUCUUUCUCCUUGUAGCAGGACAACGCCGCCGUCGUCUGCAUCACCACGGACGCCCAGCUGGAGCUCCGCGCCCCGCCUUCCUCCGCCUCGCCUUGACCUUCGCUGCACCGGAUUCGGCCUCGACGCUCCAUCCCCGACCUCCUCGUUCGAAUCCUUGUCAGAUCCGGCAGGUGCCUAUCGCUGCGCAUAGUCCCGCUUCGCUGCCGUUGAACGAGUCCUCUGCUUCCUGGCGAGACGGUGUACGCUGCGCCCGCUCGCAGAGCCUCCCCACCGUCCCUCGUUGACCGGUGUCAACUGCCACGUGGGCCUCCUCAAGCGUCACCCAGCGAACCGGCCGGGCCACCCCGGUUGCUUCCGGUUUGGAUGAGCCGUCUCGACCCAUCGCGAACCAACCGGCCCAUUGCUCCAUCGUCCUGGGCCGAAGCCCAUGUGUUGCUUCUUCGGGCUGGUUCCGAUAACGUCGCGUUUGUGAGGAUUCGUUCGACUUCGUCCGUUUGUCUUCUUCAUGGACUCAUUCUUCUUCCUUCGGGAU